UACAUGUGGGGCAAGCGUUGUUCGGAAUUACUGGGCAUAAAGGGUGCGUAGGCGGUUUGUCGCGUCUGCUGUGAAAACCUAAGGCUCAACCUUGGGCUUGCAGUGGGUACGGGCAGACUAGAGUGCGGUAGGGGUGACUGGAAUUCCUGGUGUAGCGGUGGAAUGCGCAGAUAUCAGGAGGAACACCGAUGGCGAAGGCAGGUCGCUGGGCCGCAACUGACGCUGAGGAGCGAAAGCAUGGGGAGCGAACAGG
rnacentral:rRNA from 1 species